rnacentral:rRNA from 1 species
UACGUAGGGAGCAAGCGUUGUUCGGAUUUACUGGGCGUAAAGGGCGCGUAGGCGACAAUUCAAGUCACUUGUGAAAUCUCCGGGCUUAACUCGGAACGGUCAAGUGAUACUGCUUUGCUAGAGUGCGGAAGGGGCAAUCGGAAUUCUCGGUGUAGCGGUGAAAUGCGUAGAUAUCGAGAGGAACACCUGAGGUGAAGACGGGUUGCUGGGCCGACACUGACGCUGACAGCGCGAAAGCCAGGGGAGCAAACGGG